AAAAAUCCCAAAGCAGUUGAUUUUAUUAGUUUUACAGUGAUAUAAAAUUGCCCCCACCAGCAUCUUCCUGAAUCAAAACAUUUAGCCACAGAAAAGGAAAUGUGAUUUUUUAGCCCACCCAAAAGAGCAAAAUAGCCUGAAUUGUCAGAUGACAGAAAGAAGGAGGGAAAAUCAGUAUAACAUUGGGAAGUUAAAAUCCAUAAAAUAUUAUUCAGUUUCAGCUUCUCAAGAAGAAAGAAAAACCAGAUCCCAUUAUUCUUCUACUAUUGUCUUUGGUUAUAUGGAAUGAAACAAAAGCUAAAAGGAAUAACUGGGGAUCAUUUCAUUCGACGCAGACAGGACAUAAUGUAUUCCAACCACUACCGUGAUCAUUCAUUAUCAAUAAAAAUCUAAUCUUUAGAUAGAGUUUUGUUUUGGUUGUGAUUUGAAAUUAACAGUUUGAUUCUGUUUGAGGAAAGUGCAAGUAAAGUUGGUCAAUUAGUGAACAAAAACAAAAUUAAAAGCUUGAUUAGCAAUAGAGAGAGCGCAGGGAAAACAGAG
rnacentral:misc_RNA from 1 species